GACGAACGCUGGCGGCGUGCUUAACACAUGCAAGUCGAACGAGGUCAGUUGGUCUUCGGACCGACUGGUCUAGUGGCGAACGGGUGAGUAACACGUGAGGAACCUACCCCGAAGACCGGGAUAACUCUCCGAAAGGAGUGCUAAUACCGGAUGUCUCCACCUGACCGCAUGGUCGGGUGAAGAAAUGGAUUCCGCUUCGGGACGGCCUCGCGGCCUAUCAGCUUGUUGGUGGGGUAACGGCCCACCAAGGCAUCGACGGGUAGCUGGUCU
rnacentral:rRNA from 1 species